CCUACGGGAGGCAGCAGUGAGGAAUAUUGGUCAAUGGACGCAAGUCUGAACCAGCCAUGCCGCGUGCAGGAAGACGGCUCUAUGAGUUGUAAACUGCUUUUGUACGAGGGUAAAUCCCGAUACGGGUAUCGGGGUGAAAGUAUCGUACGAAUAAGGAUCGGCUAACUACGUGCCAGCAGCCGCGGUAAUACGGAGGAUUCAAGCGUUAUCCGGAUUUAUUGGGUUUAAAGGGUGCGUAGGCGGUUCGAUAAGUUAGAGGUGACAUCCCGGGGCUCAACUCCGGCACUGCCUCUGAUACUGUCGGGCUAGAGUUUAGUUGCGGUAGGCGGAAUGUCUGGUGUUGCCG
rnacentral:rRNA from 1 species